rnacentral:rRNA from 1 species
UACGACUACAUAUCAGGCAUAUCAAUAAGCGGAGGAAAAGAAACUAACAAGGAUUCCCUUAGUAACGGCGAGUGAAGCGGGAAGAGCUCAAAUUUGAAAUCUUCAAGGUUCUACCUUGACGAAUUGUAGUUUAAAGAAGUGUUUUCUGUUAGAUGAGUAGCAAAAGUUCCUUGCAAUGGGACAUCAUAGAGGGUGAGAAUCCCGUAUUUGGUUAUUCAUUCUAGCUUUGUGAUACACUUUCAAAGAGUCGGAUUGUUUGGGAAUGCAGUCCAAAAUGGGUGGUAAAUUUCAUCUAAAGCUAAAUAUUGGCGAGAGACCGAUAGCGAACAAGUACCGUGAGGGAAAGAUGAAAAGAACUUUGAAAAGAGAGUUAAACAGUACGUGAAAUUGCCAAAAGGGAAGCGUUUGACACCAGUGUUGUUUUUCCGAAAAUCAAUUACGAAUGGCUUGAUUUUGUGUUGUAUUGACCUUAUCAGCUUUCUUCACUUUUUUCGAGUCUUUCUUAAUGCACUUUUCGGUUAACAAGUCAACAUCAAUUUCUUUUGUUGUAAAAGAGUAUUCGGAAGGUAGCUUUCUUUUCGGAGAAAGUGUUUAUAGCCCUAUACUUCUACAAUCGGAGAGAUUGAGGUCUGCAGCGUAGAUCCUUCGGGGUUAGAUACACUUGUGCUAAGUUGUAGCUUUUCAUAGACAACUUGUUGACUAUGUUUAGUCAUGCGGCUUACUCGCUUGUGCUAUUUUACCUACGCUUAGGAUGUUGAGUAGCGACAUACGCAC